UACGUAGGGAGCAAGCGUUGUCCGGAAUCAUUGGGCGUAAAGCGCGCGUAGGCGGCCCUGUAAGUCCGUUGUGAAAGUCAAAGGCUCAACCUUUGAAAGCCGAUGGAAUACUGCAGGGCUAGAGUCCGGAAGAGGCGAGUGGAAUUCCUGGUGUAGACGGUGGAAUGCGCAGAUAUCAGGAGGAACACCAAUAGCGAAGGCAGCUCGCUGGGACGGUACUGACGCUAAGGCGCGAAAGCGUGGGAGCGAACGAGGAUUG
rnacentral:rRNA from 1 species